UGGGGAAUUUUGGACAAUGGGCGAAAGCCUGAUCCAGCAAUGCCGCGUGUGUGAAGAAGGCCUUCGGGUUGUAAAGCACUUUUGUCCGGAAAGAAAUCCUUGGCUCUAAUACAGUCGGGGGAUGACGGCACCGGAAGAAUAAGCACCGGCUAACUACGUGCCAGCAGCCGCGGUAAUACGUAGGGUGCAAGCGUUAAUCGGAAUUACUGGGCGUAAAGCGUGCGCAGGCGGUUUGCUAAGACCGAUGUGAAAUCCCCGGGCUCAACCUGGGAACUGCAUUGGUGACUGGCAGGCUAGAGUAUGGCAGAGGGGGGUAGAAUUCCACGUGUAGCAGUGAAAUGCGUAGAGAUGUGGAGGAAUACCGAUGGCGAAGGCAGCCCCCUGGGCCAAUACUGACGCUCAUGCACGAAAGCGUGGGGAGCAAACAGGAUUAGAUACCCUGGUAGUCCACGCCCUAAACGAUGUCAACUAGUUGUUGGGGAUUCAUUUCCUUAGUAACGUAGCUAACGCGUGAAGUUGACCGCCUGGGGAGUACGGUCGCAAGAUUAAAACUCAAAGGAAUUGACGGGGUCAUAGCUGUUUCCU
rnacentral:rRNA from 1 species